AGAUGUUGGGGUGAUCUGGCUAUAGCAUCUGUCAUCUUAUUGACCACCAAGGUUGAUUGAGCUCAUCUGCUGGUUAGGGGGACAUCCUAUUCUCCCUCAGCACUCUGCAUAAGAUCCUCCCAAAGCUGCACACCUGGUCAAAUAGAAUGACCUUUUAGGAUAUAGAACUGUUUGUUCCUUGGUCAAAGGUAUAGGAAUAGAGUUUGGUGUUGGUGGCUCAUGCCUGUAUCCCUAGAUAAUCAAUGAGGAGGCUGAGAUAUGAGGAUUCUAGUUCAAAACCAGUCUGGGCAGAGAAGCCCAUGACACUCUGACCUCCAAUUAACCAGCAAAAAUCCACAAGUGGAGCUGUGGUUCAAGUGGUAGAGAGCCAGCUUUGAGUGAAAAAGGCAAGCAAGAACACAAAGUACAGGGUUUAAGCUCUAGUUCUGGCACAUUAAAUAAAUAAGUAAAUAAUAGGUUAGCUGUGUUCCUCUUUUAGAACCACCACAUAAGUUUCCAAAAUCCAUUUGACAAUGAGCAUAGGAAAUCAAGCUUCUAAGAUUACAGAAACUUCCAAAUGUGCUGGAGUGACAGUCUGUCUUUCUUU
rnacentral:snRNA from 1 species